UGCUGAAACUGUUUGCUGCCAUGAGUAGGCUAACUUAGAUGUUGCCAUGAUGUGUCACAGAUGGGUUACAGGUGGACGAAAGAUACCACCCAGAGUCUGAGGAAAGACACCAGUUCCACCUCUUUUUAUUGUUUCCAGAGAACUACCCUUAUUUGGACAAUGAGCUCAGAUUGUCAUCCAUGAAAUAAAAUGAUGGGGUCAUAUACUCUCUCAGGUGUCUCCAGUUUGUGUUUCUGGAUUUUGAAAAUUUCCAUUGCACUGUCUGAGAGGCAGGGAUGUGUCAUAAACCCAUGCGGAAAAGAGAGCCCAUAAAAUAUUUCAGGAGCUGAAGAAUCCAGGGAACUAGAAGAAUGUCUCAAGUCAAUAUCCAAAAUAGACAAGACUGAAAUGUCCACCCCCAUCAUACCAGCAAAGAACCAGACUAAAACUCCUGAGGGCUCACUCAGACAGAGUGAGGAUGCCUGAAGCCAAUGGUGAGAGAUGGAUCCUGACCCGUGAAGCUGGAAUUCUCCCACUAUGCCUUAUUUCUGAAGAUUCUGACUCUCCAUCCUGGAAGAUGGUAGUGGUGGAGAUAUUUCAGAAAAAAUGGGGAAAACAGUUUACCAAUA